GGCAUAGCUCAGUGGUAGAGCAUCAGCUUUCCAUGCAGAUGGUCCCAGGUUCAAUCCUUGACAUCUCCA